CAAAGCUGAAGUCCCCUUAAUAAUGAACUCCAUAAAAUCCUUCUCUGAACAUGCCGAGUGCGGAAGGUGAAUUUGACAAACAGGAUGAUGACAUUCACUUAGUGACAUUAUGUGUAACAGAAUUAAAUGACCGGGAAGAAAAUGAAAAUCACUUUCCAAUCAUUUAUGGCAUCGCAGUCAACAUUAAAACUGCAGAGAUUUACAGAGCUUCCUUUCAAGAUCGUGGCCCAGAGGAGCAACUGCGUGCUGCGAGAGCUUUAGCAGGAGGCCCAAACCUUUCUACUUCUCCUCUGGCUGAGCCCCCCCACUUUGUUGACCAUAUUAGAUCUACCUUGAUGUUUUUAAAAAAAUUCCCAUCUCCAGAGAAUAUACUGUUUCCUGGAAAUAAAGCUCUCCUCUACAGAAAAAAUAAAGAUGGCUUAUGGGAAAAGAUCUCUCCAGGGAACUAACAUCAGAUCUGGGUUACCGAAGAAUUCACCUUUUGGCCUGAAGAGACCGUUGCUGGUUUGGAAUUCA
rnacentral:lncRNA from 1 species